GCUAGGGUUGGGGAGAGGUGGAGGUGGGGGGGGUUUAUAUAGGCUUAGGGGAGGAGAGUAGAAAGGAAGGAGAGGGAGAACUUUGGGAAGGAGAUCAUGGGAGAGAAAAAUAGGAAAGAGAGGGAGGAGAAAAAAAGGAAGAGAGAAAUAAGGAAAAGGGAGAGAAAAUAGGAAAAAGUAGACGUGGGGAGGGAGAGAAGAAAAAAA
rnacentral:lncRNA from 1 species